rnacentral:rRNA from 1 species
GACGAACGCUGGCGGCGUGCUUAACACAUGCAAGUCGCACGGCAAGGCCCUGCUUUUGUGGGGUGCUCGAGUGGCGCCCGGGUGAGUAACACUUGCGUAACCUGCCCUUGCCUUUGGGAUCACUUCAGGAAACUGGGGCUAAUACCGGAUAGGAGCUCCUUCUGCAUGGUGCGUUUUGGAAAGUUUCGGCGGUUGGGGAUGGACUCUCGGCUUAUCAGCUUGUUGGUGGGGUAGUGGCUUACCAAGGCUUUGACGGGUAGCCGGCCUGAGAGGGUGACCGGCAACAUUGGGACUGAGAUACGGGACAGACUACUAAGGGAGGCAGCAGUGGGGAAGAUUGCACAAUGGGCGGAAGCAGGAUGCAGCAACGCGGCGUGAGGGAUGACGGACUGCGGGUUGGAAACCGCUUUCGGCUGUGACGAAGCGUGAGUGACGGUAAUGGGUAAAGAAGCACCGGCUAACUACGUG